UACGAGGGGGGCAAGCGUUGUUCGGAAUUAUUGGGCGUAAAGGGCGCGUAGGCGGUUUGGCAAGUUUGGUGUGAAAUCUUCGGGCUCAACUCGAAGUCUGCAUCGAAAACUGCCGGGCUUGAGUAUGGGAGAGGUGAGUGGAAUUUCCGGUGUAGCGGUGAAAUGCGUAGAUAUCGGAAGGAACACCAAUGGCGAAGGCAGCUUGCUGGGACGGUACUGACGCUGAGGCGCGAAAGCGUGGGGAGCAAACAGG
rnacentral:rRNA from 1 species